UGGAGACCCUUAAGCUAAUUUUCAAUCCAGCUAUCAGAACACAUUAUGUUUUUAUUUUUAUCACAGGUAUUGCAACAUCCUCCGUGGCUGCAUGUUCUGACCUCCAGAAACGUUUCAGAAUGUUUCAGAGACAACCAAGUAGAACCAACUCAUGCUCUCCAACUCAUCACCAGCACUGUGUGUGCUUGGGCUCCUGGUCUUGAUGUCCAGAAAAAAACUUCACGCCCGCAAUCUGUAUUUGGCCUCUGGACAUCCAUAAGGCAAAGCUGGAUCCCCAGCACUUGCUCACAGAGGAAAGCAGCAGCAGAUGGGUUUUUUGCAGCGUGCGUUCAGGAGCCGCUCCCAGCCCUCCGUGACCACAGGGCUUUCUGCUGGAACUCCCUCACAUCCGUGGGACCUCUGCACCUGGGGAAGUGCUAAAGGACUGUCAUGGGGUAAUCCUCUCUGUGCUGGGUUUCUGUAUGAACAGUGUGCACGAAGGAAAACCGUAAGGACCGGUGUAUAUCUAAAAAAAUGAGUACAAAUAAAGUCCUGGCUUGCAGCGCACAAAUAAUUCUGAGGGCAAAUGGGACAGGAAGGGUUUAGCCUGCAGACACUGAUUUGUCAUGCAUUCUGAGUGGGGCUUUUCAACACGCUUUAAUCCCCUUCUGUUUUUUUUGGGCGUGUUUUUUUUGGCCCAGGCAUUAGAUAAUGCUUUAGAAGCCAUUAGAAAAACCUGUGACAAUUGAACUGCUUUGAAAAAAUGACAGUUUGAUUGUCUAAUAAUAGCCCUAAACUGAG